rnacentral:rRNA from 1 species
UACGGAGGGAGCUAGCGUUGUUCGGAAUUACUGGGUGUAAAGCGCGUGUAGGCGGCAGACCAAGUCGGCGGUGAAAGCGCCCGGCUCAACUGGGCGAGGUCCGUGGAAACUGGUCAGCUGGAGGACGGUAGAGGCGAGUGGAAUUCCCGGUGUAGUGGUGAAAUGCGUAGAGAUCGGGAGGAACACCUGUGGCGAAGGCGGCUCGCUGGGCCGGUCCUGACGCUGAGACGCGAAGGCGUGGGGAGCGAACGGG